GACAGAGGGUGCAAACGUUGCUCGGAAUCACUGGGCGUAAAGGGCGUGUAGGCGGGCAUGCAAGUCAGGCGUGAAAUCCCUGGGCUCAACCCAGGAAUUGCACUUGAAACUGCAUGUCUUGAGUAUCGGAGAGGAAAGCGGAAUUCCUGGUGUAGAGGUGAAAUUCGUAGAUAUUCGGAAGAACACCAGUGGCGAAGGCGGCUCACUGGCCCGAUACUGACGCUGAGGCACGAAAGCGUGGGGAGCAAACAGG
rnacentral:rRNA from 1 species